rnacentral:tRNA from 1 species
GGGCGAUUAACUCAGUGGGAGAGUGCUUCCUUCACACGGAAGAAGUCACAGGUUCGAAUCCUGUAUCGCCCACCA